AGAAUCAACGCUGGCGGCGUGCCUAACACAUGCAAGUCGAACGAGAAAGUGGAGCAAUCCAUGAGUAAAGUGGCGCACGGGUGAGUAACACGUGACUAACCUACCCUUGAGUGGGGGAUAACCUAGGGAAACCUGGGCUAAUACCGCAUAAUACCUUCGGGUCAAAGGAGCAAUUCGCUUAAGGAGGGGGUCGCGGCCGAUUAGUUAGUUGGCGGGGUAAUGGCCCACCAAGACGAUGAUCGGUAUCCGGCCUGAGAGGGCGCACGGACACACUGGAACUGAAACACGGUCCAGACUCCUACGGGAGGCAGCAGUGGGGAAUUUUGCGCAAUGGGGGAAACCCUGACGCAGCAACGCCGCGUGGAGGAUGAAGUCCCUUGGGACGUAAACUCCUUUCGAUCGGGACAUAAUGACGGUACCGGAAGAAGAAGCCCGGCUAACUUCGUGCCAGCAGCCGC
rnacentral:rRNA from 1 species